rnacentral:miRNA from 1 species
UUCCUUCCUCUCUCAGUCUCUG